rnacentral:lncRNA from 1 species
UCGGGUGCAGGCGGGUUCGGGCUAAAAAACCCAGAUCCGAUAAAAACCAACAGACAAAUAUUCUGGUCCGCUGCCGUCCGAAUGAGGCUUCGGUUUGAUCGGUUGCGGGUUGGGUCGAUGGACGGGUUGGAUGUGUGGAUUAAUACAGGUAUGGACUGAAUGACUCCUUAGCUCAAAAAAUCUUGAAAUAUUUUGACAAAGAAGAAAGAAAUCCACAAAUAACCCUUCCCGAGCCCUCAGUCCCAUCUUCCUUCCUUCAUCUUUUGUUUUGCCUACAGACCCUGUCGAACCAGCUACCCGUUGCUCCUCCACUCAAGUUGCCCCUCUUGUGUGGAUUAAUACAGGUAUGGACUGAAUGACUCCUUAGCUCAAAAAAUCUUGAAAUAUUUUGACAAAGAAGAAAGAAAUCCACAAAUAACCCUUCCCGAGCCCUCAGUCCCAUCUUCCUUCCUUCAUCUUUUGUUUUGCCUACAGACCCUGUCGAACCAGCUAC